rnacentral:rRNA from 1 species
ACCGAAGCUGUGGAUACCUUUAUAGGUAUGGUAGGAGAGCGUUCUAUGUGUGAUGAAGGUAUACCGUGAGGAGUGCUGGAACGCAUAGAAGUGAGAAUGCCGGUAUGAGUAGCGAAAGACAGGUGAGAAUCCUGUCCACCGUAAGACUAAGGUUUCCAGGGGAAGGCUCGUCCGCCCUGGGUUAGUCGUGACCUAAGGAGAGACCGAAAGGUGUAUCCGAUGGACAACAGGUUGAUAUUCCUGUACUAGAGUAUGUAGUGAUGGAGGGACGCAGUAGGCUAACUAAAGCAGACGAUUGGAAGAGUCUGUCUAAGCAGUGAGGUGUGAAUUGAGUCAAAUGCUUAAUUCUAUAACAUUGAGCUGUGAUGGGGAGCGAAGUUUAGUAGCGAAGUUAGUGACGUCACACUGCCAAGAAAAGCUUCUAGCGUUUAAACAUACUCUACCCGUACCGCAAACCGACAC